GAGCAAUGGAGAGAUACAAGAAGAAUAAGACAGAGGAAGUAUCACUGUGGCACCCCAGAUUUUUUUACGUUUAAUCGCUUUUGCUCUUCAUUUUUUUCUGUUCUUUCUUUCUGUUUUCUUUGCGUUUCAAUCAAUUUCAAACAAGUAAACGAGCAUACAUACGUGUAUGCGCGAAGAGAAAGAGAAAGAAAGGAAGAGCCUA
rnacentral:ribozyme from 1 species